rnacentral:rRNA from 1 species
GUCCUUUUGAUAAUAAUUUAAGGUCGGGCCUGCCCAAUGAUGUUAGAAUUAAAUGGCCGCGGUAUAUUGACCGUGCAAAGGUAGCAUAAUCAUUAGUUUUUUAAUUGAAAGCUUGUAUGAAAGGUUUGAUGAAAGAAUAACUGUCUCUAUUUGAAUUUUUUAGAAUUUUAUUUUUAAGUAAAAAAGCUUAAAUAUUUAUAGAAGACGAGAAGACCCUAUAGAGUUUUAUAUUUAAUUUAAAAAGAGUAAUUUUUAGAAUUUUUAUUAUGUUUUGAAUUAAGUAUUUAGUUGGGGUGAUUGAAAAAUUAAAAAAACUUUUUUUUAAUAAAGUCAUUGAUUUAUGAAUAUAUGAUCCAUUUUUUAUGAUUAAAAGAAUAAAUUACCUUAGGGAUAACAGCGUAAUUUUUUUUUAGAGUUCUAAUCGAAAGAAAAGAUUGCGACCUCGAUGUUGGAUUAAAAUUAAGAAUUGGUGUAGAAGCUAAUUUGUUGGGUCUGUUCGACCUUUAAAAUUUUACAUGAUCUGAGUUUAAACCGGCGUAAG